AAGUAGGUAGCUUAACCGCAAGGAGGGCGCUUACCACGGUAGGAGUUCGUGACUGGGGUG
rnacentral:rRNA from 1 species